ACGCUCGACACCUACGGGAGGCAGCAGUCGGGAAUAUUGCGCAAUGGAGGAAACUCUGACGCAGUGACGCCGCGUGCAGGAAGAAGGUUUUCGGAUUGUAAACUGCUUUAGACAGGGAAGAAUAAUGACAGUACCUGUAGAAUAAGCUCCGGCUAACUACGUACCAGCAGCCGCGGUAAUCUGAGCGGGCUGGCAAGGC
rnacentral:rRNA from 1 species